GGUAAGUAGUUCAUAAACAAACAUCACUCCAUCCUAUUUCUUAGAUGUGAUCUGACUGUAAGAAAGUAAAAGAAGGAAAUACCUGUCAAGUUCUGAAUAUAACGUCCUUUUAAGAACAAGAAGUGCAAUACUCAUUGACAUAUUGUGCGAAGUCCGUGAAUACUUACGCUCACUGAGUGGCCACCGAGGACAGGUAGUCGGAAGUGUCGACAUCAUUGUUAAUAAUCACGCAAAUUAUGGACGUCACUCAGGGUUACAAAGAUAAACGGGAAAUGGGAAUAGAUAUUGGUUAAUAUCGUAGUAUAGCUUUUAUACACAUAUCUAGCUACGGGUUAUUUAACCAAGAAAUACUGUUAAGGUUGAACUGAUUUUAGCCAUAGCAAAAUAAACAUUCCCGUAUCAACUAACAGAUACCUGUUAGAAUCUGCAAUCACAAUCAGAAAAAAACACAGGAUGUCGUGCUGUUUCCAUUAAAUGCUUAGAAACUUGCAAUUGGCAGCCCCGGUAUACUCUCAUAUGGCAUCAACCUUGACGGGAAAUAUUUGAACGCGGGAAAAGUUUUAGGCCCGCGCUCACUCGCUUCCCGGACUCCGCACAAUACACAUCGGAGGAUCGCGAGAGGUGCAGAAAGAUACAAACUACCAUGUGAAUAUAAACACAAGUUAAAUCAUACAUGAAAUAACUUUACGAAAGCGUGCACACAUACAUAAACGCAACGACAAUAAAUAUCAAGAAAGGAUAAGCGACGCCUAACUCAGAAGAAAAAUCAUUCACCAAAACCAAAGAAAGGGAUAUCGAGGCACCGAAGACCCCAACAAUGGUUCUUGGCGUCAUAACAGAUGUUCUUCUUCUCAUUGUUCCUAUCCUGCUAACGAUGUAUCUGAUAAGGAAGAACAGGAGAAAGACAGAAAGGACACUGUAACGAAUUAUUUUUUUUUUUUUUUAGAGAUCUGAUUUUCUGAUAUUACAUUAGUUAUUUAUUGUCAGACAGCUGCAACUGGGUGGCAAUUUGGAUCUUACAUUGCCUAUGUCUGUGAAUAAUGCUUGGAUAUGUCAUGUCUACGUCAUGUCUACUCCGCCUUUAUCUUCCUCUUACUUGCUUCUCGGUCUGAUUUUAAGUACGGUGGUUAGCGCGCCGACCUCACAUCCCUGUUGUCGGCAGAUCGAGCCCCGCGCAAGCUCGUGAGUUUCCACUGUCGCCUGGCGGUCACUGCCGUGGCUGGGCAUCACGGUGGGUAAGGACCAAGCUCAGUUCGUUGGUAUAAUACCACGAGUCAGUACUCGCCAUAGUGCAUAUAAGCCCGACGAAGCAUAUUUAGCAUACUUACUUAGUCCGAAUAUACUUACGAAGCAUACUUACUUAGCCCGGCGAAGCAUCUGGUCCGUAAAGCUGGCUUAUCCUUAUCCAUGUCUAAGUAUAAUUUUGGUUAAACUUCCUUCAGCUUUCUAAGGUAACUUUGAUCUUUCUCAUGAUAAUCCUGUCUGUAAUUCAAUAGAAACAUAAACUACGUUUGUCAAUUUGAUAACAUAGUAACAUGUAAAUAAAAUGAAACAGCACA
rnacentral:lncRNA from 1 species